rnacentral:rRNA from 1 species
AUCUAUGGCCAUACCAUCCUGAAUGUGCCCGAACUUGUCUGAUCUCAGAAACUAAGUAGGGUCGGUAUGAGAGAAAUGGCCUUCUUUGCCCACUUUGCAUGACCCUCAGGGCCUCAGUUC